rnacentral:rRNA from 1 species
CUUACCCUACGGGGGGCAGCAGUAGGGAAUCUUCCACAAUGGGCGAAAGCCUGAUGGAGCAACGCCGCGUGGGUGAAGAAGGUCUUCGGAUCGUAAACCUCUGUCAGGAGGGAAGAAGUGGUUAUAUGCGAAUAGUGUAUGACUUUGACGGUACCUCCAAAGGAAGCACCGGCUAACUCCGUGCCAGCAGCCGCGGUAAUACGGAGGGUGCGAGCGUUAAUCGGAAUCACUGGGCGUAAAGCGCGCGUAGGCGGCUUUUCAAGUCAGGGGUGAAAUCCCACGGCCCAACCGUGGAACUGCCUUUG